rnacentral:rRNA from 1 species
AUUGAACGCUGGCGGCAGGCCUAACACAUGCAAGUCGAACGGUAACAGGAAGCAGCUUGCUGCUUCGCUGACGAGUGGCGGACGGGUGAGUAAUGUCUGGGAAACUGCCUGAUGGAGGGGGAUAACUACUGGAAACGGUAGCUAAUACCGCAUAACGUCGCAAGACCAAAGAGGGGGACCUUCGGGCCUCUUGCCAUCGGAUGUGCCCAGAUGGGAUUAGCUAGUAGGUGGGGUAACGGCUCACCUAGGCGACGAUCCCUAGCUGGUCUGAGAGGAUGACCAGCCACACUGGAACUGAGACACGGUCCAGACUCCUACGGGAGGCAGCAGUGGGGAAUAUUGCACAAUGGGCGCAAGCCUGAUGCAGCCAUGCCGCGUGUAUGAAGAAGACCUUCGGGUUGUAAAGUACUUUCAGCGGGGAGGAAGGCGAUAAGGUUAAUAACCUUGUCGAUUGACGUUACCCGCAGAAGAAGCACCGGCUAACUCCGUGCCAGCAGCCGCGGUAA